GACGAACGCUGGCGGCGUGCUUAACACAUGCAAGUCGAACGGGUCUGCCCUGUUUUUUGCGGGGUGGGUCAGUGGCGAACGGGUGAGUAACACGUGAGUAACCUGCCCCUCACUUCUGGAUAACCGCUUGAAAGGGUGGCUAAUACGGGGUGUUCUGGCUGUGCCGCAUGGUGUGGCUGGGAAAGAUUCACUUUUGUGGUGUUUUGGUGGGGGAUGGGCUCGCGGCCUAUCAGCUUGUUGGUGGGGUGAUGGCCUGCCAAGGCUUUGACGGGUAGCCGGCCUGGGAGGGUGGGCGGUCACACUGGGACUGAGAUACGGCCCAGACUCCGGCGGGAGGCAGCAGUGGGGGGUAUUGCACAAUGGGCGGAAGCCUGAUGCAGCGACGUCGCGGGAGGGAUGGAGGCCUUCGGGUUGUGAACCUCUUUCGCCGGUGAAGAAGGUCCUGCUCUUUGUGGUGGGGUUGACGGUAGCCGGGUUAUGAAGCGCCGGCUAACUACGUG
rnacentral:rRNA from 1 species